rnacentral:rRNA from 1 species
GACGAACCGAGCGAACGUUGUUCGGAAUCACUGGGCUUAAAGGGCGCGUAGGCGGGCAGUUAAGUCUGCGGUGAAAUCCUCCAGCUCAACUGGAGAACUGCCGUGGAUACUGGCUGUCUCGAGGAAGGUAGGGGCGUGUGGAACUAUCGGUGGAGCGGUGAAAUGCGUUGAUAUCGAUAGGAACUCCGGUGGCGAAGGCGACACGCUGGACCUUUUCUGACGCUGAGGCGCGAAAGCCAGGGGAGCAAACGGG